rnacentral:rRNA from 1 species
AUUGAACGCUGGCGGCAGGCCUAACACAUGCAAGUCGAGCGGUAGAGAGAAGCUUGCUUCUCUUGAGAGCGGCGGACGGGUGAGUAAUGCCUAGGAAUCUGCCUAGUAGUGGGGGAUAACGUCCGGAAACGGGCGCUAAUACCGCAUACGUCCUACGGGAGAAAGUGGGGGAUCUUCGGACCUCACGCUAUUAGAUGAGCCUAGGUCGGAUUAGCUAGUUGGUGAGGUAAUGGCCCACCAAGGCGACGAUCGGUAGCUGGUCUGAGAGGAUGAUCAGCCACACUGGGACUGAGACACGGCCCAGACUCCUACGGGAGGCUG